rnacentral:rRNA from 1 species
GACGAACGCUGGCGGCGUGCUUAACACAUGCAAGUCGAACGGAAAGGCCCUGCUUUGGGGGGGUGCUCGAGGGGCAAACGGGGGAGUAACACGUGAGUAACCUGCCCUUGACUUUGGGAUAACUUCAGGAAACUGGGGCUAAUACCGGAUAGGAGCUCCGGCGGCAGGGGGGGGGUGGGAAGGUUUCGGCGGUUGGGGAUGGACUCGCGGCUUAUCAGCUUGUUGGUGGGGUAGUGGCUUACCAAGGCUUUGACGGGUAGCCGGCCUGAGAGGGUGACCGGCCACAUUGGGACUGAGAUACGGCCCAGACUCCUACGGGAGGCAGCAGUGGGGAAUAUUGCACAAUGGGCGGAAGCCUGAUGCAGCAACGCCGCGUGCGGGAUGACGGCCUUCGGGUUGUAAACCGCUUUCGCCUGUGACGAAGCGUGAGUGACGGUAAUGGGUAAAGAAGCACCGGCUAACUACGUG